rnacentral:rRNA from 1 species
CCUACGGGAGGCAGCAGUGAGGAAUAUUGGUCAAUGGACGAGAGUCUGAACCAGCCAAGUAGCGUGAAGGAUGACUGCCCUAUGGGUUGUAAACUUCUUUUAUAAAGGAAUAAAACGAGGCACGUGUGCCUUUUUGCAUGUACUUUAUGAAUAAGGAUCGGCUAACUCCGUGCCAGCAGCCGCGGUAAUACGGAGGAUCCGAGCGUUAUCCGGAUUUAUUGGGUUUAAAGGGAGCGUAGAUGGGUUGUUAAGUCAGUUGUGAAAGUUUGCGGCUCAAACGUAAAAUUGCAAUUGAUACUGGCAGUCGUGAGUACAGUUGAGGUAAGCGGAAUUCGUGGUGUAGCGGUGAAAUGCUUAGAUAUCACGAAGAACCCCGAUUGCGAAGGCAGCUUACUAAACUGUGACUGACAUUGAUGCUCGAAAGUGUGGGUAUCAAACAGGAUUAGAUACCCCUGUAGUC